rnacentral:lncRNA from 1 species
AAAACUAAAGGGCAUUAAAACACCCUAAUGUAAUUUACACGAAAGAAACACAAAACAAUAAUCAACAGAACCAAACAAACGCACAAAUAGUACUAAGGCGUCACAAAUGAAAAAAUUGAAACAUUAACUCAAAAGUUCAACAAAACAGAAGCAUAUAAUUAAGCCAAAAUAGUAAAAGAAAGGGAAGGAAUAGACCUCGACUAAAUCUGAAAUUUGAUUGUUUGACAAUUUUAAAAAUGCUAAGAGACAGGUACCGCGGACAAUUGGAUUAACCUCGUCGGAAAACCUCGAUAGAUAGGACCCCUUCAAUUCAUCCAAAAGUUAGGCGAGCAGCAGAUUUUCGGCGAGUCGACUGACAGGCAGCGACUGCUGUUGUAUUUUACGACGAGUUUCGACGGAAGUGAUGGGGCUGGUUGGUUGCUGGAAAUUUAAGGAGAUUGGAGGGGGGGGUCGGUUUUGGAGUUUGUCGAGACUGGUUCGUCGUUGGCGUGAAGGAGCAGAAGAUGGCCGUUGGCUGGUCUUUUCCGGUGAGCUGCUGCGAGGUGAGGGUCGGUGGCUGAGGUUGGAGACGGCGGGGGCUCUAGGUCUUCUCUUAGGAUUCGCUAGUUCAUCUUCAUUGUGUUUUAAGGCUCAGCUAUGGUAGUCUGAAGUUCUACUAGGGUUUUUUCUUGUACAAGUUUAAGGUGAAGAAGAAGUGACCUAGGGUUUUUU